UACGUAGGGAGCGAGCGUUGUCCGGAGUUACUGGGUGUAAAGGGAGCGUAGGCGGGCGAGAAAGUUGAAUGUUAAAUCUACCGGCUUAACUGGUAGCUGCGUUCAAAACUUCUUGUCUUGAGUGAAGUAGAGGCAGGCGGAAUUCCUAGUGUAGCGGUGAAAUGCGUAGAUAUUAGGAGGAACACCAGUGGCGAAGGCGGCCUGCUGGGCUUUAACUGACGCUGAGGCUCGAAAGCGUGGGGAGCAAACAGG
rnacentral:rRNA from 1 species